rnacentral:rRNA from 1 species
AGAGUUGAUCAUGGCUCAGGAUGAACGCUGGCGGCGUGCCUAACACAUGCAAGUCGAACGGAGUUAUCGGAGCUUGCUUGAUAACUAGUGGCGGACGGGUGAGUAAUGUAUGAGCAACCUGCCUUUCAGAGGGGGACAACAGUUGGAAACGACUGCUAAUACCGCAUAAUGUGCGAGGGGGGCAUCCCUUUUGUACCAAAGGAGCAAUCCGCUGAAAGAUGGGCUCAUAUCUGAUUAGUUAGUUGGCAGGGUAACGGCCUACCAAGACUGCGAUCAGUAGCCGGACUGAGAGGUUGAACGGCCACAUUGGGACUGAGAUACGGCCCAGACUCCUACGGGAGGCAGCAGUGGGGAAUAUUGGGCAAUGGGCGAAAGCCUCGACCCAGCAACGCCGCGUGAAGGAAGAAGGUCUUCGGAUUGUAAACUUCUUUUAUGAGGGACGAAGGACGUGACGGUACCUCAUGAAUAAGCCACGGCUAACUACGUGCCAGCCGCGGC